UACGGGGGGGGCAAGCGUUGUUCGGAAUUACUGGGCGUAAAGGGCUCGUAGGCGGCCAACUAAGUCAGACGUGAAAUCCCUCAGCUUAACUGGGGAACUGCGUCUGAUACUGGAUGGCUUGGAUCCGGGAGAGGGAUGCGGAAUUCCAGGUGUAGCGGUGAAAUGCGUAGAUAUCUGGAGGAACACCGGUGGCGAAGGCGGCUCGCUGGGCCAGUUCUGACGCUCAUCCGCGAAAGCGUGGGGAGCAACAGGGAUUAAGAAACCCU
rnacentral:rRNA from 1 species